GAGAACCUUACUAGGUCCAGACAGGGGAGGGAUUGACAGUUUGAUAGCGCUUUCUUGAUUCUUUGGGUGGUGGUGCAUGGCCGUUCUUAGUUGGUGGAGCGAUUUGUCUGGUUAAUUCCGUUAACGAACGAGACCUUUACUAUCUAAAUAGCACAAUAUAACAAGAUUAUGCUGUUGUUUCUUAGAAGGACUACUUGCUUUUUCAGCAAGGGGAAGCUUAAGGCAAUAA
rnacentral:rRNA from 1 species